rnacentral:rRNA from 1 species
GAUGAACGCUGGCGGCGUGCCUAAUACAUGCAAGUCGAGCGAACAGACGAGGAGCUUGCUCCUCUGACGUUAGCGGCGGACGGGUGAGUAACACGUGGAUAACCUACCUAUAAGACUGGGAUAACUUCGGGAAACCGGAGCUAAUACCGGAUAAUAUAUUGAACCGCAUGGUUCAAUAGUGAAAGACGGUUUUGCUGUCACUUAUAGAUGGAUCCGCGCCGCAUUAGCUAGUUGGUAAGGUAACGGCUUACCAAGGCGACGAUGCGUAGCCGACCUGAGAGGGUGAUCGGCCACACUGGAACUGAGACACGGUCCAGACUCCUACGGGAGGCAGCAGUAGGGAAUCUUCCGCAAAGGGCGAAAGCCUGACGGAGCAACGCCGCGUGAGUGAUGAAGGUCUUCGGAUCGUAAAACUCUGUUAUUAGGGAAGAACAAAUGUGUAAGUAACUAUGCACGUCUUGACGGUACCUAAUCAGAAAGCCGCGGCUAACUACGUG